GGAAUCAGAAAUUAAAAAGGAGGAAAGAGAAGCACCAAGCUUUGCUAACCGGUCAGCAAUAUCAUUCGUCUACCAAUAAACAUGAACAAAAGAAACAUGAUGGCCAAACGAAAUACAAAUAUCAUCGAUCUUUAGCCAGAAGACAUGAAGGGACCAAGGGAUUCUUUGCUCUUGUUUACACCAUUUCAUAACAUUCAUAUAAUCUCAUUCGACCAAAAUAAUGCCUUGAAUACCUCUGCUAACAAUAAUUUGUAGACCCUAAAGAAGAGAAACCAUCUCAGUCUGGCUAGCCGUGGUAGAUCCACAUGGCCCAGCAUAAGAGAAAAUAGUGGCACCAUCAUGAUCUCUAAGAAGACCACCUACUUCAGCUCGCGAAGAGGGGGGAAAUCACCAUUUAGAGUUUGUAUUUUUUUUUUUUUUUUUUUUUGUGUAUUUACUUCGUCUUGGUUCUCUACAUUAGUUUUUUUAUUCUAAAUAAGUUGUUGGAGAAUAGUGGUGUUUUUGUGUGUGAAUACUAUAUUGUUGGGGUUGCUUGUAAUGAAGUUUAUGUGAACGACCAGUUGAGAAAAAUGUGCAAGUUUUAUUUGAUUUGAUAUAGUUUAUAUCUUUAUGUCUGUUUAUUAUUGCAUAUCUGUGAUAUAAUUUUCAGCCACCAUAUGUUUUCUUGUAUGUGUGUGUUUCCAUUUGUCUGGAUUUUGUAACUCUUU
rnacentral:lncRNA from 1 species